GAAUAUUGGUCAAUGGAGGCAACUCUGAACCAGCCAAGCCGCGUGAAGGAAGACUGUUCUAUGAAUUGUAAACUUCUUUUGUGACAGAGUAACGAUAGCUACGUGUACUUGUUUGCAAGUAUGUCAUGAAUACGCAUCGGCUAACUCCGUGCCAGCAGCCGCGGUAAUACGGAGGAUGCAGGCGUUAUCCGGAUUUAUUACGUCAACAGGGUGUUCAGGCUGUCUGGUAACUCACAGGUGAAAGUCCGUUGCUUACCGAUCGAAUUGCCUUUGACCCUGUCAGACUUGAGUAUGGAUGUGGUAGGCGGAAUGUGUAGUGUAGCGGUGAAAUGCAUAGAUAUUACACAGAACUCCAAUUGCGAAAGCAGCUUACCAAACCAGCACUGACGCUGAAGCACGAAAGCGUGGGUAGCGAACAGGAUUAGAUACCCUGGUAGUCCACGCAGUAAACGAUGCUCACUCGCUGUUGGCAAUACACCGUCAGCGGCUAAGGGAAACCGAUAAGUGAGCCACCUGGGGAGUACGAUCGCAAGAUUGAAACUCAAAGGAAUUGACGGGGGCCCGCACAAGCGGUGGAACAUGUGGUUUAAUUCGAUGAUACGCGAGGAACCUUACCUGGGCUUAAAUGUGAAGUGCAUUGUUUGGAAACAGACAUUUCCUUCGGGACUCUUUACAAGGUGCUGCAUGGUUGUCGUCAGCUCGUGCCGUGAGGUGUCGGGUUAAGUCCCAUAACGAGCGCAACCCCUAUUGUUAGUUACCAGCGCGUCAAGGCGGGGACUCUAACGAGACUGCCGGUGUAAACCGCGAGGAAGGUGGGGAUGACGUCAAAUCAGCACGGCCCUUAUGUCCAGGGCUACACACGUGUUACAAUGGUCGGUACAGAGGGCAGCUAGGCAGCGAUGUCAAGCGAAUCUCGAAAGCCGAUCCCAGUUCGGAUUGGAGUCUGCAACCCGACUCCAUGAAGGUGGAAUCGCUAGUAUCGCGCAUCAGCCAUGGCGCGGGAA
rnacentral:rRNA from 1 species